UGGGGGAUAUUGCACAAUGGGGGAAACCCUGAUGCAGCGAUGCCGCGUGAAUGAAGACGGCCUUCGGGUUGUAAAGUUCUGUCGCAGGGGACGAAACUGACGGUACCCUGCAAGAAAGCUCCGGCUAACUACGUGCCAGCAGCCGCGGUAAUACGUAGGGAGCAAGCGUUGUCCGGAAUUACUGGGUGUAAAGGGAGCGUAGGCGGGAGGAUAAGUUGAAUGUGAAAUCUGUGGGCUCAACCCACAGCUGCGUUCAAAACUGUUCUUCUUGAGUGAAGUAGAGGCAGGCGGAAUUCCUAGUGUAGCGGUGAAAUGCGUAGAUAUUAGGAGGAACACCAGUGGCGAAGGCGGCCUGCUGGGCUUUUACUGACGCUGAGGCUCGAAAGCGUGGGUAGCAAACAGGAUUAGAUACCC
rnacentral:rRNA from 1 species